UACAGAGGGUGCGAGCGUUGUUCGGAAUUAUUGGGCGUAAAGGGCGCGUAGGCGGUGCGGUAAGUCACCUGUGAAAUCUCCUGGCUCAACUGGGAGCUUGCAGGCGAAACUGCCGUGCUGGAGUGUGGGAGAGGUGCGUGGAAUUCCCGGUGUAGCGGUGAAAUGCGUAGAUAUCUGGAGGAACACCGGUGGCGAAGGCGACAUCCUGGACCGGUAUUGACGCUGAGGCGCGAAAGCCAGGGGAGCAAACGGG
rnacentral:rRNA from 1 species